GGUACUUUGGCCGAGUGGUCUAAGGCGUCGGAUUUAAGCCCCGAUACCGAGAGGUGCGUGGGUUCGAACCCCACGGGUACCA
rfam:Tritrichomonas foetus strain K scaffold_21, whole genome shotgun sequence.